rnacentral:rRNA from 1 species
UACGUAGGGUGCGAGCGUUAAUCGGAAUUACUGGGCGUAAAGCGUGCGCAGGCGGUGAUGUAAGACCGAUGUGAAAUCCCCGGGCUUAACCUGGGAACUGCGUUUGAAACUACAAGGCUAGAGUGUGGCAGAGGGGGGUGGAAUUCCACGUGUAGCAGUGAAAUGCGUAGAGAUGUGGAGGAACACCGAUGGCGAAGGCAGCCCCCCUGGGUUAACACUGACGCUCAGGCACGAAAGCGUGGGGAGCAAACAGG